UACGUAGGUGACAAGCGUUGUCCGGAUUUACUGGGCGUAAAGAGCGCGCAGGCGGUCGAUCAAGUCGAGUGUGAAAGCCCCCGGCUCAACUGGGGAGGGUCAUUCGAUACUGAUCGACUCGAAGGCAGGAGAGGGUAGUGGAAUUCCCGGUGUAGUGGUGAAAUGCGUAGAUAUCGGGAGGAACACCGGUGGCGAAGGCGGCAUCCUGGACCGGCAUUGACGCUGAGGCGCGAAAGCCAGGGGAGCAAAGCGGG
rnacentral:rRNA from 1 species